rnacentral:lncRNA from 1 species
AUAUCAUACUAAACUCUAAACCCAACCCCUAAUUACUAAACUCUAAACCCUAGCCACUAAAUCUUAAACCCAAAUGUAAGCUAUAAUAUAUAUUUAAAAAAAAAAUCAAAAUCUGAAAUAUAUAAUAUUUUAUAAUAUUUUCAAGUACUAUACAUACAUAGUAUGAACAUUGUAUAAAAUAGUAUACAAAUGUUUACUCUAUUUAUAUUAGUUGAGCAUCAUACGUAAAAUAGUACGAGAAGAAAUAAAAGUACUUGUUGAUGAAAAAAUCGUUUUUGAACUAGACAUGACCCUAACUUUUUCAAACAUUUGAAUGAAACUAAUUUUAUAUUACGAGCAAUCAUACAAAAGAGCAUAGAAGAGAAAUAUCAAAUUUGAAGACAUGACAUAUAAUCCAUAAACCCUAAACUCUAGUUUAAGAAUGAAAUUACUAAACCCUAAACCCUAAUCACUAAACCCUACACUAAACUCUACUCACCCACUUAAAUACUAAAACCCUAGACAAACCCCUAGUUACUAAAUCUAAACCCAAAUAACUAAAGUAUAAACCCAAACAAAAUCUAUAUAA